UUGGUCACCUAUACACGCACGCACCACCGAGCUGCAGGUAAAUGCAAGCAGGUAUCCCCUUGUUGUCUGGUUAAUUAUUUAGAAUUGUUCCUCUGAUUAAUACAUUCAUAUGGGCGCAUGUAGUACUGUUGAUGGUAUGAAUGGCUCGGGUAGCAGUUGCAUCUUGGUGGGUUUCAAUUCAUUUAUAGCUUAGAGGUUUCAUGAUAGUGUAGGCAUGCAUGCCACAUACAUAUUCAUCAGGAUUCAGGACCGAGACAUCUGUGUGUGUUUCAGCAGACAGUCUCUAUGAUUCGAUGUUUCUUCAUGCUAGUAGCAUAGUGCUCCGUAAUUUUUGUUCCUCAUUGUUCCGUGAAAAAUUGUGUUUACCCUCUGUUACUUCUUGUAGGUAGUUGUAGCUUUCAUGUGAUGGGAAUCAACUAGACAAGAUACUUAACAUUUGAUUAAUUAAUGUAGCUUGUGAUCAUUUUAUGGAUGUUUGCUGGUAUGGUGCAUGAAAAAAUGACAUGUACGAAGCCAAUGCUUUGGAUAGAUGCACUUUAGAUGCUCUACUGUUGUUCUUCAUUUUGUUUCAUAAUGGACUUGUUUUUUCUGCCACUGUCCAAGUGCAAGCAGCGACCCACAGAGCAGUACAACGUUCCAAGAACUUCUUGAGAAGCUCACGGAACUGAUAAGCCACAACUUCUGUAGUGUUGAAUGAUUAAAUCGCUACCUUUAACUUGAAAUAAAAAUGCAGUCAUGUACUUCUUUUGACCUUAAUACCCUUUUCUCUUGGUUUUUCCGGAUGAGAUACAACAAGAAAUCUUAGAAGGUUUGGUAGUUGAUGUCGUGGAUGAACAAGAGACAGAUGAAGUUUGUCGACGUAAUUAAAUGUGAUUGCUAGUUGUAUGUGUUGGCUGUCGUGUGGUGUGAGAUAGUACAUUUGCACUUGUGUAUGUUGUAUGAAAAAGGUUGAAACAUGUCGAUGUUACGUAUCUGUUGGAAACAAAUCAUAUAGUGGAUUUUGAAUGUGUGAUGUCUUGUGUUAUGUUUCUUCAUGAAAUGGUGAUCGCAGUAAAUUGAUUACUGUCUAGCUGAUUUUAGGACUAAUUAACACAUUGUUAAGAUCACGCCUUGCACACAGUUUUGUAGAUCCAAUUGUGUGUGAUGGCAUUCACAUCAUACAUGUUUUUUU
rnacentral:lncRNA from 1 species